GGGAAAUUAGUCUAACUAAAGACAGCUGAUUUCGGCUCAUCUAAUUAUGGUUAAAGUCCAUGAUUUCCCU
rnacentral:tRNA from 1 species